GACGAACGCUGGCGGCGUGCUUAACACAUGCAAGUCGAACGGAAAGGCCCUGCUUUUGUGGGGUGCUCGAGUGGCGAACGGGUGAGUAACACGUGAGUAACCUGCCCUUGACUUUGGGAUAACUUCAGGAAACUGGGGCUAAUACCGGAUAGGAGCUCCUGCUGCAUGGUGGGGGUUGGAAAGUUUCGGCGGUUGGGGAUGGACUCGCGGCUUAUCAGCUUGUUGGUGGGGUAGUGGCUUACCAAGGCUUUGACGGGUAGCCGGCCUGAGAGGGUGACCGGCCACAUUGGGACUGAGAUACGGCCCAGACUCCUACGGGAGGCAGCAGUGGGGAAUAUUGCACAAUGGGCGGAAGCCUGAUGCAGCAACACCGCGUGCGGGAUGACGGCCUUCGGGUUGUAAACCGCUUUCGCCUGUGACGAAGCGUGAGUGACGGUGAUGGGUAAAGAAGCACCGGCUAACUACGUGCCAGCAGCCGCGGUGAUACGUAGGGUGCGAGCGUUGUCCGGAUUUAUUGGGCGUAAAGGGCUCGUAGGUGGUUGAUCGCGUCGGAAGUGUAAUCUUGGGGCUUAACCCUGAGCGUGCUUUCGAUACGGGUUGACUUGAGGAAGGUAGGGGAGAAUGGAAUCCCUGGUGGAGCGGUGGAAUGCGCAGAUAUCAGGAGGAACACCAGUGGCGAAGGCGGUUCUCUGGGCCUUUCCUGACGCUGAGGAGCGAAAGCGUGGGGAGCGAACAGGCUUAGAUACCCUGGUAGUCCACGCUGUAAACGGUGGGUACUAGGUGUGGGGUCCAUUCCACGGGUUCCGUGCCGUAGCUAACGCUUUAAGUACCCCGCCUGGGGAGUACGGCCGCAAGGCUAAAACUCAAAGGAAUUGACGGGGCCCCGCACAAGCGGCGGAGCAUGCGGAUUAAUUCGAUGCAACGCGUAGAACCUUACCUGGGUUUGACAUGGAUCGGGAGUGCUCAGAGAUGGGUGUGCCUCUUUUGGGGUCGGUUCACAGGUGGUGCAUGCCUGUCGUCAGCUCGUGUCGUGAGAUGUUGGGUUAAGUCCCGCAACGAGCGCAACCCUUGUUCACUGUUGCCAGCACGUUAUGGUGGGGACUCAGUGGAGACCGCCGGGGUCAACUCGGAGGAAGGUGGGGAUGACGUCAAGUCAUCAUGCCCCUUAUGUCCAGGGCUUCACGCAUGCUACAAUGGCUGGUACAGAGAGUGGCGAGCCUGUGAGGGUGAGCGAAUCUCGGAAAGCCGGUCUCAGUUCGGAUUGGGGUCUGCAACUCGACCUCAUGAAGUCGGAGUCGCUAGUAAUCGCAGAUCAGCAACGCUGCGGUGAAUACGUUCCCGGGGCU
rnacentral:rRNA from 1 species